rnacentral:rRNA from 1 species
UAGCUUCAGCGAUGGAUCGGUUGAUUCGCGUAUCGAUGAAAAACGCAGCUAGCUGCGUUAUUUACCACGAAUUGCAGACGCUUAGAGUGGUGAAAUUUUGAACGCAUAGCGCCGUUGGGUUUUCCCUUCGGCACGUCUGGUUCAGGGUUGUUAACCAUAUACUACAAUGUGGCUAAUUUCAACAUUGUUUGUCAAAUGGCAUUUGUCUUUUAGACAAUUCCCAUUUCAGUUCAAGAACAUAUACAUGCAACGUGAUGUUAUGAAAUUGUAACAUUCCUGAAUGAUAUGAACAUGUUGCCACUAUUUGAGUGUACUCAGCGAAUAUUGAGAUUGACUUAGAUAGUGACUUGUAUGGCGACGAUGUUCUUUUAUCAUUUGUAUAAUGCAACCUGAGCUCAGGCGUGAUUACCCGCUGAACUUAAGCAUAUCAUUUAGCGGAGGAAAAG